rnacentral:tRNA from 1 species
AGGGGUACAGCUCAGGGGUAGGGUGCGUGCUUAGCAUGCAUGAGGUCCUGGGUUCAAUCCCCAGUGCCUCCA